rnacentral:snRNA from 1 species
GUGAUUGCUUCUGCAGCACACUUACUAAAAGUGAAGUGACAUGGAGAUUAGCAUGGCCCCUGCUCAGAGAUGACACUCAAGCACAAUGUGAUUGUUCCAUAAAAA